UACAGAGGGUGCAAGCGUUGUUCGGAUUUACUGGGCGUAAAGCGUGCGUAGGCGGUAUUGAGAGUCAUAGGUGAAAUCCCCGGGCUUAACCCGGGAACUGCCCGUGAGACCUCAGUACUAGAGUGUGAGAGGGGAUAGUGGAAUUCCAAGUGUAGCGGUGAAAUGCGUAGAGAUUUGGAGGAACACCGGUGGCGAAGGCGGCUAUCUGGCUCACAACUGACGCUCAGGCACGAAAGCAUGGGUAGCAAACAGG
rnacentral:rRNA from 1 species